UUUAUGGAGAGUUUGAUCCUGGCUCAGGACGAACGCUGGCGGCGUGCCUAAUACAUGCAAGUCGAGCGCGGGAAGCGAGUGGAUCCCUUCGGGGUGAAGCUCGUGGAACGAGCGGCGGACGGGUGAGUAACACGUGGGCAACCUGC
rnacentral:ncRNA from 1 species